rnacentral:lncRNA from 1 species
AAAAAUGUGCAUUUUGUGACUGUACUAUUUAGUGUCAUUGUUUUAUAGAUACCAUAGUGAGAAAGGAUUCAUUUCGCAACACCUACGGCUUCCACUAGAUGUCAACGAUCUUUAUAAAGUUGUUUGAAGCGUCUAUGAUAAACAGAGAGCAAAUUAGAAUCCAAGGAAGUUGACAUGUCAUCACUUCAUUUUUUUGCGCCUGCGCAUAAAUCUGAGAAACAAACCACAUUUGUUCCGGACCUGGAAUGCCUUCCGGACCUGGGAUCCUGCCUUCUGAUGGAGAUAAUCAAAGAGUCCAAUCCCAUCAACAUUUGCAGUGGUAUCAACAUCAAGCUCAGCACCAGGAACUAGUCUUCAGUAGUAGAGAUCCUGUAGACCCUUUGGAUGAAAGCUUUCAGCUGGGAACAAGAUCAACAUCAUCUGACUCAGAAGAGGAAAAGACUGCACAGUGCUGGCAAGAGCCAAAGUGUAUAGUCUGAGUCCAAGGUCAUGGAGCUCAUGAAGUAGUGCCAGACAAGCUGCCAUUGCCCAACACAAGACGAGGUUCACCAGCUGAAGAACAUUGAGGACCCUGCUUGGGACAUUCAGCCAACACAACAUCCAUAUUCAGUUAGACUGAUGUUGUAGUAUAAUACUGAAUCCCUAGAAUGCUCACAACUGCAUUGUGGUAUUGAUAUGUCUAGCUCUUGUACAUGUGUAUUUAAUGGAGUUUGAUAAAAUGUUUAUAAUCUUUUGUACAAGUGUACUGACAAGUGACUAAAUGACUCCAGCUGAAUCAGAAACCAAUAAAAGUGUUAACUUCAACUCCUGGAUCAAUUCAUUGUGAUAUUCAUGAAAUGUGUUUGGAAGUAAAUACUGUAGCUACAAUCUUACUGCUAAAACAAGUAUGCAGGGAGUUGGUUUAUUAUUAACUAAUUUGUUGGCAAGUAAAC